UUCUACGGCCACGCUACCCUGAACAAGCCCGAACCCGUCUGAUCUUGGAAGCUAAGCAGGGACGAGUCUGGUUAGUACUUGGAUGGGAGACCACCUAGGAAGACCAGGUGCUGUAGGCA
rfam:Pteropus alecto contig103743, whole genome shotgun sequence.